GGGAGCAUAUAAACAGGAGGGGGAACGGCUGUUUACAAGGGUGGAAAGUGAUAGGACAAGGGGGAAUGGUUUUAAACUGAGACAGGGGAGGUUUAGGUUGGAUAUUAGGAAGAAGUUUUUCACCCAGAGGGUGGUGACGCACUGAACAGGUUGCACAAGGAGGCUGUGGAUGCCCCAUCCCUGCAGGCAUUCAAGGCCAGGCUGGAUGUGGCUCUGGGCAGCCUGGGCUGCUGGUUGGCGACCCUGCACAUAGCAGGGGGUUGGAACGAGAUGAUCGUUGUGGUCUUUUUCAACCCAGGCCAUUCUAUGAUAAUGUCUGCCUUCAUGUUCCAUCCCCUUAAGGAAGCACUAUGUGGGAUCCUGGUCUUGGUGGGGAUACUGGGGUGCUUUAUGGUAAGGGGUAGGGAGCAAAGGAGAUGCCCUUCCAUGAACUGCACAAAAAGUUUGUUGUGCAGGGAUGGGCUGGGUACGUGAGGGUAAUGCAGGGAAGAUCUCCAUCCUUGCUUCACCUCUUAGUGGUACAGCUUGUAUUUCCAUGCCCCGCUGUGAACAGCUCUUCGUCAACUGGCAGAGAUCAGUGCUCCAUGAUGCUGCAAAUGCAAUUAGCAGCAGACCUGGAAAGUGUUCUGCAAAACAGACGUACACAGGGAAGACCAGGAAGGUAGCAGAAUUCCAAGAACACCCAAUCUACCAAAAGUAUGACCUAGCAGUGAGUGCAGGAAUGAGGUAAGUUAGAGUAGAGCUCACCAAAGGCUUUGAUUUGUGUGCCUUCAGCUGUCGGGACCUGUAUUCCCCUCUAUACAUCAGGGUGCUAUGGGGUUGAUUUCCAUCCUGGACAGAUCUGCUCAUUGGUUCUGGUGCUGCCUUGUGAUUCUCAGCGCUGCCUCCUGGUGUGAUGCUGCUGCUUGUGAAGAUCUUUCCAGAUCACAUGAUGGAGAUGGAGACGACUUUAACAAAGGAAGAUGCAGGCUUCCGUUGCUGCUUCUUGCAGAAUUUGUUUCUUCUUAGUCAUAUGGGUUUUGCUCAGUUUUGCCAUUGCAAAGGCUUCUCAAGGUCUGAAGUGGUGUAGUCCCAAAUCAGAAACGCAUACUGGGAUGAUUGACUUGAUGAUGAGAAACCUUUGGUUCUGCAUGGCUGAAUAACCAUAAAAUGAACCAGGUACUCAAUAGCAAACUGCAAAGGGGAUGGGGGGGGGGGGGCACACUGAUACUGCAUAAAGGUUGCAAAGUUAAGCAACCAAAACAUGGAAUGAGUGUUUGGUUGAAUAAGUAAUCCCAACUUCCCUUUGUGUGCACGGUGUUUAUUCAAUAGAGAGCAAUCUUGUGUUACUUACAGCUCUCAAUAAACAGAUACCUAAGAUGAGCUCGCUCAUGUGUGAGUUCGGUCAUGUAAUUAAAGACUUUUGACACAUGGCCAGAUGCUCUGCCUUUAUGUUGGUGUAAAUGAGAGCAGAGGGUGGCUGUGCACCACACUGCCUGUGCUGAAGUGGCUUCAAAAUAGGCUCUUUGUGCAUCUAGAUGGCCAAGAGGGAUGGGACCAUCCCCUCUGCAGAGAGGGAAAGGGAGAAAUCUUAAUUAUCUGACCAGGUCUGUUUGUGCAACAGGUUAUGAAAGGUGUUCUCUCAAGCUGGGGGGUUGCACUGAUUUUGCAGGCAGGGUUUCAGGGAUGAAAUUCUAGCUCCCCGGGGGAUGGGCAGUGACUCUGGGGGAGGUGGCUUGGGGGAUGUUUGGAGCCCAUCUGCAGAAACACAGAGGAGCAGAGCAGGGCCUGCCCCGACCCCCCUUGGAGAGCUCUGCCGGCUGCGUGGGCUCCUGCACCCUCUGCAGUCCGGAGGGAUUGCUUGAGGUAAGGACCUGUUUGGCCAAUGGAGUCUUGUCAUUGAGCACCCUGUCAGCACCUUGGCUUUCUUACCCCCCAGUACAUCCACGAUGGUUGCAAUCCCAUGAGAAGUGACUGACUUUGGUACAGAGGUGCAAAUCAGAGCGUUGGAAGGAGAGGGGGGGACAAUGGCAUGUGUAGGGUUUACAUACUGUCACGUUCUUUGCUUUUUCUCAACAGGGAGGAAUUGCUGUGAUGAGUUUCUUGUCACUUUUUCUGGUACAUUUUUCUUCUUUUAAGAUGACAGAUCUCCAUGCUUGAAUUAGGGCGUGCUGCUCCCCAAACCCAAACUCAUGCCAGUAGAAGUCAUCCAUGAAGUUGGUAUUUGUAGACUUAGCCCUGCCUGGCUUUGACUUGGAGUGUUGCAAACCAAAUUUGAUUCCUGUGCAGGUAUUUCUGUAUUUGCACUGCAUCCAAGGGAUGGUAUGACAAGCUCCAGCAAAUAACCCCACUUAUUUUUGGGGAAUGUUUUUUAGUAGUCUAAACCUUUCUAAAACCUUAAAGCUCCAUAAGCAGCUUAAACCAAUCUAAAGCCUUAGAUCAUUUUAAACAGCUUGUGCCAAUAGAAGGACUUAGAUUAUCUUAAAUGCCUUAAAGAGAUCUAAAGCUUUAGUGAAAGAAUUUGGCCAGUCUUGGAUUUGCUUGGUGGUUUGAUUGGAUUUCAUGGGCAUGUUGGUCAUCACUGGGUCAUUGCCCAACUGCUGUUGGGGAACAUGCCCUGAUUUUCUCUGUCUUGUGAUUUUGGGUAUUUGAGGGGCUGCCGUUUGAACACAGAAGUAAAUCCUGAAUCUUUAACCUUAACUCUGCCCUCAGGUGAAGAUCAUCUGUAACUUCUGUAUGCUGUCCCAGGUUCGUUUGGCUGAAUAUAUAUAUCUCACUUGAGAGAGAAGAGACGUUGUAUUACACCAAUUAAGGAUUUUCAAAGAAUUGUGAUGGCCUGAAUUGUCCUUUGCAGUUUAGAUUCUUAUCAGUUGCUUAUAGAGCUUUGAAAGUCUGAUCUUAAGACAUGGCGGCUUAAUUAAAGGCCUUUAAAAAUGUACAUAAAUGAAGGAAUGAGUCCAGACUGUGACUUCAGUUAAUUUGGACGUUCUCUAAUUAUUGCUUGCUUUGUGCUACAGCAUCAUCACAGUGUGAACAUAGGAUCUAAUACUUCCUUCGCUUUGCAAGGGGAAAUCAUAAGUAAUUCAGGCUCAGAGUUGGGGGGCUCUUCCUUUUGUGUUUUAUCUUAUUUUUGUAAUUUAAAUGAGAUGGAUUUUUCCUUGCAUGUCAACCAGCCUUGAAAGGCUGAGUUAUUUGAUUUCCCUUUGAGCACAGUGGCACAGAAGCUUUUUUUUUUUUACUCCCAUUGACAGGUGGAGUAGCAUCCUCAGGAAUUAUUUCAUUAGAAGAUACAUCAAUAAUAGUACCAGAUACAUAUGAAGACAGCAUCAGAGCAGAAAUUUUCUGCUCAAACGCCUUAACCAAGAGAAGGAGCUGAUGCACUUCCUAUGCUGAGUGCUCGGAUGUGGAGUUGGGUCCUGAUGAGCUCUGCCAUGUGCAAUGUCUGCUUUCAAUCCCCGCGAUGUGCAAACAAAGCAGUUUUGUGCAGAUCUGACUUGGGGCAGCAUUUUAGAGCUUUCCUGUGUUAUAACUGCUUUAACUUGCAAGAAAGCUAAGAACAAGUUUUGGUUUCAAUUUUAGAUAUGGCUGUUUUCUCAGGCUUAAGUGUUGGUCUGCUAACAGGUUGUUCACAGUGAGGCUGCUAAAAAGUUCCAAUCUCCUGCAUUUUAUUCACUUUGCUUAUUAAUGCAUUUAUUCAUAGAAGCAGUGAGGGCUUGUUGGAAGGUGGACUGCUUUUCCUUUCGACUUGCCACACGGAAUUCUUUUGCAGAUGGUAUCAUUCCUACUUCAUACUUAAAGCAAGAAGCAUGACUGCUAGCUCAGCACCUGAGAAUAUCUGGUGGAAGAUUCUGGGAUUUUUACACUUAAGAGCACUCAUUUUAAGUAAAUUAGCAAUAAAAAUAAAUAAUAAUAAAAAAACAACUCAAUCUGUACUGUAAAAUGCAUCCAGAAAUUCCAGGGCUGUGCUCAGUGCUGGAGUCUCACUGUGGCUCAGGCAGUUUGCCCUGGUCCCUCUCUCUGUUACGUGAUAAAUAAAGUUCCUUUCCUUCCUUAGAAUAUCUGACCCGGGGAGUUCAGGAUGAAGUUUGUUAGAAAUGUAAACAGGCUGCAGCUGGGUAAACCGCUGCUGAAUCAGGGCAGGGAGCAGAGCAGCCUUUUAAAUCUGGUUCUGUUUUUCCCCACCUCUAACCUGGUGAUGGGGACCGGGUUUGCUUCUGUCGCCAUACUGCAGUGCUGUGGACUUCUGUACUCGGCGUGUCUGUCUCUGCUUGGGUGAAACAGGGUGAGCUGGAGCUCUUGGGUUUCCUCCUGUCUAUCAGGAGCAAGUGCUGGUUUGGAGCUGGUGGACAAGCUGUGAAGCGCCCGCUUCCCUCUCUAUGGCAGCUUGGUGCAAUUACUUUUUUUUUACCUAGCUUAGCCCCUUUUACUUUUUUCUCCUUUAACUCCUUCUUUGCUCCAAGCUCCUGAGCACUCUCAGCUCUGCUCGCCUCUGCCCGAAGGCUCAAAGCAAAACCAGAGCGGCCAGUGCAGGAAUUCCCUAUUGCAUCCUCUUGCUCUAAGCUACCUGUCUCACAUUCUGUGCCAUUCACAGCUAUAUGAUAGAAUGAUUCCUAAUGCUGUUUGCUAGUAGAAAAACAAAAGAAAAGUCUCUUCUUCUGUCUUGGAUGUUUUCUAUCCCCUCCCAGUUAUGGGUCAGACAUUCAUGUGCUCCAGUUGCAGAGAGUCCCACUGAGCACAAAACAAUCCUGGGGUUUUGCAUGGACAGAAGCAGCUGCAGAUGGGAAUUGCCAUCAAGCAGUGCUGAAGCAAGAGUUAAACAGGUCUGAUACAAACUGUGGUGAGGCUUCUGUGACUGUUUCAUUGAAACAUCUAUGGCUGGUGUGUGUCACCCCGGAGCAGCCUCUGUGUCCCCCCCCUUUGCUUUGAGGCCAGGUGAGACCCUAGAAGUGGGACUGAAUGCAGAUGGACUGGGGUUGCUACAAGCAUUGCUAACUUCUGCACUGGCCCUUAUGGGAUGCAGAGAAUAGUUCGAGGUAUGGAGGGUUGUAGCAGAGAGCCCUGCUGCAGGCUGGAAGGUCCCCAGGUCUCAGUUUGCUCCCACAUGCAAACUGCAGCAGCACAAACAAGUCGGUGAUAAUCCACCCAGCAAUGGCAUCUUCCUUGGAAAGGGCCCUGAUUUCAGAAAGCAUCGCCGUCCAGAACAGUGUUCAAGCAUGUGCCUGCCUGUAAGCAUGAAUUUAAUUGCCAUCCUGGAGAAUGUUGUGCUUAAUCAUCUUCCUCGGUGCUUCUUCUGACUCAGGGCUGGUGUUGGCAUCCUGCAGGGUGCACCACGGUGGGAAGAGCUGCCAGGGCUGCAUAUGUCUCAUGUACGUGGCUGGGUGCUGCUGAGGAAAUGUGUGGUGGGGAAGGGAGCUUGAGGUUCUCUGGUAAAGAAAACAGCUCUUAAUUAAUUGGAUGAGUAGGGUGAGUUGCUAAAACACGCAGUGUUUGUGGCAGCAAAGGGUUUGUAAGGACAGGAGUUUGGGUUGAGGAUAAAUGAACCUUUGCAGCUCUCAGCAGCUUGCUGGAACUCCUCAUCCUUGCUCCCUUGGGACACAGUCAGCAGCUUGGGGCUUCUUCCAGGCUUCCUAGAAAGCCCAGAGGUUCCCCACAUCUGCGUGCCCAGGUGCAGGGAACAGUGUGCACAAUUAAGGGUGUGCGUUUGGGAGCACCGUGGGAGAUGCAGAGCUGGGGACUUGCACCUGCCGGGCUGCUGACCACAGAAAUCUGUGCACAGCAGUGACACGUAACAGAUUUCCACCAUUGGUUUGAACUCCCUUUUCUCUGUAUUGAUACCUAGGGACUUGCAUGGUCGGUGCCACAAGACACCUCCUGCAGGGGAGAGGUUAGGAAUGUACCUCACAGUAUGAGUUGGUGCCGAUUCCUAAGCACAGCAGCUGCCCUACCAACUACUUGUGGGGAUGGCUCCUCAUGAUGUCUCCAAGCCUCAGUACUGCACCCCUUUCAUUCUCUGGGAUCAUAGAAUCAUAGAAUCACUCAGGUUGGAAAAGACCUUAAAGAUCAUUGAGUCCAACCACAACCUAACCACACUACCCUAACUCGAACAACCCUCUGCUAAAUCACAUCCCUGAGCACCACAUCCAAACGGUUGUUAAACACAUCCAGGGAUGGUGACUCAACCACCUCCCUGGGCAGCCCAUUCCAGUGCUUAACAACCCGUUCUGUAAAGAAGUGUUUCCUGAUAUCCAACCUAAACUUACCCUGCACUACUUGAGGCCAUUUCCCCUCAUCCUGUCACCUGUCAGCAGUGAGAAGAGACCAGCUCGGCUCUUGCUGUAAGCACCUUUCAGAUAUUGGGAGAGAGCAAUAAGGUCUCCCCUCAGCCUCCUUUUCCCAGACCAAACAGCCCCAGUUCCUUCAGUCUCUCCUCAUAGGCCAUAUUCUCCAAGCCCUUCACAAGCCUCGUUGCCCUUCUUUGGACCUGC
ensembl:lncRNA